AGAAUAAACAGCAGGGAUGAAAACAUGAUCAUGAAGGUGGUUUUCCGGGCCCGUCUUACCCAUUGCCCUCCAGAUGUGCUGGCCCUUGAUAGUUUUCUAAAUGUGGAAAACUUAACUGCAUAAUUUCUGGUCGUGGGGAACUGGCUUCAUUCUCUCCCCU